rnacentral:rRNA from 1 species
UAACAGGUCUAGUUUACUAGAUGCUGACGAGCGGCGGACGGCUGAGUAACACGUAGGAAUCUACCCCAAAGUGAGGGAUAAGCACCAGAAAUGGUGUCUAAUACCGCAUGUGCUCCACGGAGUAAAGCUUUAUGCGCUUUGGGAAGAGCCUGCGUUCGAUUAGCUAGUUGGUGAGGUAAUAGCUCACCAAGGCGAUGAUCGAUAGCUGGUCUGAGAGGAUGAUCAGCCAGACUGGGACUUAGACACGGCCCAGACUCCUACGGGAGGCAGCAGUAGGGAAUUUUCCACAAUGGGCGAAAGCCUGAUGGAGCAACGCCGCGUGCAGGAUGAAUGUCUUCGGAUUGUAAACUGCUUUUGUUGGUGACGAUUAUGACGGUAACCAACGAAUAAGGGUCUGCUAACUACGUGCCAGCAGCCGCGGUCAUACGUAGGACCCAAGCGUUAUCCGGAAUUACUGGGCGUAAAGAGUUGCGUAGGUGGCAUAGUAAGUAGAUAGUGAAAGCGUGUGGCUCAACCAUACAUCCAUUAUCUAAACUGCUAAGCUAGAAGAUGAGAGAGGUAGAUGGAAUUCCUGAUGUAGGGGUAAUAUCCGUAGAUAUCAGGAGGAACACCGAUGGCGUAGGCAGUCUACUGGCUCAUUCUUGACACUAAGGCACGAAAGCAUGGGGAGCAAACAGGAUUAGAUACCCUGGUAGUCCAUGCCGUAAACUAUGGAUGCUAGCUGUAAGAGGUAUCGACCCCUCUUGUAGCGAAGCUAACGCGUUAAGCAUCCCGCCUGUGGAGUACGGUCGCAAGACUAAAACAU